rnacentral:rRNA from 1 species
UGCCUCAGUAACGGCGAGUGAAGCGGCAACAGCUCAAAUUUGAAAUCUGGCGCCCCCCGGCGUCCGAGUUGUAAUUUGUAGAGGAUGCUAUUGGGUUGCCACCGGUCUAAGUUCCUUGGAACAGGACGUCACAGAGGGUGAGAAUCCCGUACGUGACCGGCCAGGCGCUCUCUGUAUAGCUCCUUCGACGAGUCGGGUUGUUUGGGAAUGCAGCCCUAAAUGGGAGGUAAAUUUCUUCUAAAGCUAAAUACCGGCCAGAGACCGAUAGCGCACAAGUAGAGUGAUCGAAAGAUGAAAAGCACUUUGGAAAGAGAGUUAAAAAGCACGUGAAAUUGUUGAAAGGGAAGCGCUUGCCAUCAGUCUCGACGGCGGCUGUUCGGCCUCUCUUCUGAGUGGUUUAUUCAGUCGCCGCCGGGCCAGCAUCAGUUUCGGCGGCCGGACAAAGGCGCGGGGAAUGUAGCUCCCUCGGGAGUGUUAUAGCCCCGCGUGCAAUACGGCCCGCCGGGACUGAGGUCCGCGCUUCGGCUAGGAUGCUGGCGAAAUGGUGGUAAGCGGCCCGUCUUGAAACACGGACCAAGGAGUCUAACAUCUACGCGAGUGUUUGGGUGUCAAACCCGUGCGCGCAAUGAAAGUGAACGGAGGUGGGAACCGCAAGGUGCACCAUCGACCGAUCCUGAUGUCUUCGGAUGGAUUUGAGUAAGAGCGUAGCUGUUGGGACCCGAAAGAUGGUGAACUAUGCCUGAAUAGGGUGAAGCCAGAGGAAACUCUGGUGGAGGCUCGCAGCGGUUCUGACGUGCAAAUCGAUCGUCAAAUUUGGGUAUA